rnacentral:rRNA from 1 species
CUCUGCUUGCACCUGCUCUCGUCUGAUCUCAGACGUUAAGCAGAGU